GUGAACCAGCGGUAGGGAUCAUUUAUCGAAGUUACCAACUUCCAAACCUUUGUGAACAUUACCACAGUUGCUUACGGCGGCCUCGCCCCGGGCGCACCGGGACCCCUCCGGGGGGACCGCGGCGACCCGGACCCAGGCGACCGCCGGGGGACCCAAACUCUUGUCUUUUAGUGUAUUAUCUGAGUGGCAUAAGCAAAUAAAUUAAAACUUUCAGCAACGGAUCUCUUGGUUCUGGCAUCGAUGAAGAACGCAGCGAAAUGCGAUAAGUAAUGUGAAUUGCAGAAUUCAGUGAAUCAUCGAAUCUUUGAACGCAUAUUGCGCCCGCCAGUACUCUGGCGGGCAUGCCUGUCCGAGCGUCAUUUCAACCCUCAGCACCCACCGUUCGCGGAGGGAGCUGGCGUUGGGGAUCGGCCGUCCUCUGCGGCGGCCGGCCCCGAAACGAAGUGGCGGUCACGUCGCGACCUCCUUCUGCGUAGUAGCAAUAUCUCGCAGCCUGGAUAGCGGCGCGGCCACGCCGUAAAACCCCAACUAAUACCAAGGUUGACCUCGGAUCAGGUAGGAAUACCCGC
rnacentral:rRNA from 1 species